AUUGAACGCUGGCGGCAGGCUUAACACAUACAAGUCGAGCGGAGAUGAGGUGCUUGCACCUUAUCUUAGCGGCGGACGGGUGAGUAAUGCUUAGGAAUCUGCCUAUUAGUGGGGGACAACAUUCCGAAAGGAAUGCUAAUACCGCAUACGUCCUACGGGAGAAAGCAGGGGAUCUUCGGACCUUGCGCUAAUAGAUGAGCCUAAGUCGGAUUAGCUAGUUGGGGGGGUAAAGGCCUACCAAGGCGACGAUCUGUAGCGGGUCUGAGAGGAUGAUCCGCCACACUGGGACUGAGACACGGCCCAGACUCCUACGGGAGGCAGCAGUGGGGAAUAUUGGACAAUGGGGGGAACCCUGAUCCAGCCAUGCCGCGUGUGUGAAGAAGGCCUUAUGGUUGUAAAGCACUUUAAGCGAGGAGGAGGCUACUGAGACUAAUACUCUUGGAUAGUGGACGUUACUCGCAGAAUAAGCACCGGCUAACUCUGUGCCAGCCGCCGCCGUAA
rnacentral:rRNA from 1 species